rnacentral:lncRNA from 1 species
AUGAUCGUGUAUGCCUUGGGGCCAGCACUCGGUGGCCUGCUGAUGUCCCUAGGCAGAAAUAGCCCGUUUCAUCAUCGGCUCUGGACGAGCCAUGCCUGCAUUCCUCGAGUAAGGAGCCACUCUCCACUGAGCUUUUGGAGCAAUGAUCUCUCCAGCUGCAGGCUGGGGACAGGCCAGGCUGGGGCUCGGGGGACAGUGUGGAAGGCCAUGAAUAAUCGGGAAGAAGCAGGGAUGAAUGGGAGGAAAGGGACUUCCGGGGAGUCACACGGUGAAUCUGGAAGAUGCCAGAGCUGGUGGCUGACCCUGACCCAGCCAUUGUGGAGGUAUGGACACUCUCUCUUCCUGGCACACUCUCAGCUGUAAACUCCUACACUGUCUAGGGCUGCCCAGGGCCAGGUGUGGCUCCUAGCUGGAUUUUACAAGAGCUUGGAUGGAUUGGCUGCAUUUAAGAAUCAAGAGAUAUUUUGCAGGAAUAGCUAUCUGGCUGGCUUUUUGGCGGAAGACGGGGGACCUGGAGGUGGCACACCCCAACAGGCAGGAGCUGAGCUGAGCUGAGCUGAGGCAGGUUCCAGCCCCUGCUUCUCCCCUCCCCACACAGCCUGCCAGCCCUGGGGGUGGGGACCUCAGCAUUCGCAGCUCUGUUGGAGGCAGGCAAGGAUCCUGUGACUCCUGGCCCCGCACCCUGUCAGCUGCGCCUGGAUACUCUCCAGCCCUCAGAAAGCCAGAUGCCGUGGGAGCUAGGGAAAAGGGAACCUGAAGGAAAC